rnacentral:rRNA from 1 species
GCAGGCGCGGAACCUUUACAAUGCACGAAAGUGUGAUAAGGGAAUCCAAAGUGCUUUGCUUUUAGCAAGGCUUUUGCCAAGAGUAAAUAUUUUGGCGAAUAAGUGGUGGGUAAGACUUGUGCCAGCCGCCGCGGUAACACCAGCGCCACAAGUGGCAAUCACUUUUAUUGGGCCUAAAGCGUCCGUAGCCGGUCUAGUAAAUUUCCUGUGAAAUCGUUAGGCUUAACUUAACGGUAUGCAGGAGAGACUACUAGACUUGGGACCGGGAGGCGUCAGAGGUAUUUCUGAGGGAGCGGUAAAAUGCUAUAAUCUCAGAAGGACCCCCUGUGGCGAAGGCGUCUGACGAGAACGGAUCCAACGGUGAGGGACGAAAGCUAGGGGAGCGAACCGGAUUAGAUACCCGAGUAGUCCUAGCUGUAAACACUGCGAACUAGGUGUUGCAUAUUCUUCGGGAAUGUGCAGUAUCGAAGCGAAGGUGCUAAGUUCGCCGCCUGGGAAGUAUGGUUGCAAGACUGAAACUUAAAGGAAUUGGCGGGGGAGCACUACAAGGGGUGCAGCGUGCGGUUUAAUCUAAUUCAACACAGAGAAUCUCACCAGAAGCGAUGGCAGGAUGAAGGUCAGGUUAAAGGCCUUACCUAACAGGCCAAGAGGUAGUGCAUGGCCGUCGUCAGCUCGUGCCGUAAGGUGUCCUGU